rnacentral:rRNA from 1 species
GACGAACGCUGGCGGCGUGCUUAACACAUGCAAGUCGAACGGAAAGGCCCUGCUUUUGUGGUGUGCUCGAGUGGCGAACGGGUUAGUAACACGUGAGUAACCUUCCCUUGACUUUUGUAUAUCUUCACGAAACUGGGGCUACUACCGGAUAGGAGCUCCUGCUGCGUGGUAGGGCUUGGAAAGUUUCGGCGGUUGGGGAUGUACUCGCGGCUUAUCAGUUUGUUAGUUGGGUAGUGGCUUACCAAGCCUUUGCACGAUAACCGACCUGAGAGGGUGACCGGCGGACUUGGGAACGAGAGACGGCCCAGACUGCUACGGGGGGCAGCAGUCGGGAAUAUUGCACAGUGAGCGGAAGGGGGAGACAGCCACGCCGGGGGCGUGAUGCCGGAAUUCGGGUAAUGAACAGCUGUAGGCUGUGACGAAGCGUGAGUGACGGUAAUGGGUAAAGAAGCACCGGCUAACUACGUG